rnacentral:ncRNA from 2 species
AUUCACUGCUAGGGGUGCUUGAAAAGCUGAGAGAGACAUUGGUCUUAACCCUUAUAACCUGAUCUAGAUCAUACUAGCGUAGGGAAGAAGUGUAAAAUUAUA